UACGAAGGGGGCUAGCGUUGCUCGGAAUCACUGGGCGUAAAGGGUGCGUAGGCGGGUCUUUAAGUCAGGGGUGAAAUCCUGGAGCUCAACUCCAGAACUGCCUUUGAUACUGAAGAUCUUGAGUUCGGGAGAGGUGCGUGGAACUGCGAGUGUAGAGGUGAAAUUCGUAGAUAUUCGCAAGAACACCAGUGGCGAAGGCGGCUCACUGGCCCGAUACUGACGCUGAGGCACGAAAGCGUGGGGAGCAAACAGG
rnacentral:rRNA from 1 species